CCUACGGGUGGCAGCAGUGAGGAAUAUUGGUCAAUGGACGAGAGUCUGAACCAGCCAAGUAGCGUGAAGGAUGACUGCCCUAUGGGUUGUAAACUUCUUUUAUAUGGGAAUAAAAUGUUCCACGUGUGGGAUUUUGUAUGUACCAUAUGAAUAAGGAUCGGCUAACUCCGUGCCAGCAGCCGCGGUAAUCCGGAGGAUCCGAGCGUUAUCCGGAUUUAUUGGGUUUAAGGGGAGCGUAGGUGGAUUGUUAAGUCAGUUGUGAAAGUUUGCGGCUCAACCGUAAAAUUGCAGUUGAAACUGGCAGUCUUGAGUACAGGAGAGGUGGGCGGAAUUCGUGGUGUAGCGGUGAAAUGCUUAGAUAUCACGAAGAACUCCGAUUGCGAAGGCAGUUCACUGGACUGCAACUGACACUGAGGCUCGAAAGUGUGGGUAUCAAACAGGAUUAGAUACCCUUGUAGUC
rnacentral:rRNA from 1 species